AAUGAACGUUGGCGGCAUGGAUUAGGCAUGCAAGUCGAGCGAGAAGGGUUUUGAAGCUUGCUUUAGAACCCGGACAGCGGCGAAAGGGAGAGUAACGCGUAGUUAUGUGCCCUAGGGUCCGGAAUAGCCACGGGAAACUGUGGGUAAUGCCGGACAACAUCCCCGGAUCAAAGGUGUGAUUCCGCCCUAGGAGCAGACUGCGUCCUACUAGCUAGUUGGUGGGGUAAUGGCCCACCAAGGCAAUGAUGGGUAGCGGGUGUGAGAGCAUGACCCGUCGCGCUGGGACUGAGACACUGCCCAGACACUUACGGGUGGCUGCAGUCGAGGAUCUUCGGCAAUGGGCGAAAGCCUGACCGAGCGAUGCCGCGUGCGGGAUGAAGGCCCUCGGGUUGUAAACCGCGAAAGUAAGGAGGAAGGCUCUGCGAAGAGCAGAGUUUGACCAAUUUACAGUAAGGACGGGCUAAGUUCGUGCCAGCAGCCGCAGUAAAAC
rnacentral:rRNA from 1 species